rnacentral:rRNA from 1 species
GACGAACGCUGGCGGCGUGCCUAAUACAUGCAAGUCGAACGCAACUAUUUUCACCGGAGCUUGCUCCACCGAAGAUAGUUGAGUGGCGGACGGGUGAGUAACACGUGGGCAACCUGCCCAUCAGAGGGGGAUAACACUUGGAAACAGGUGCUAAUACCGCAUAAUUCGUUUUCUCGCAUGAGAAGAUGAUAAAAGACGCUUCGGUGUCACUGAUGGAUGGGCCCGCGCUGCAUUAGUUAGUUGGUGGGGUAAUGGCCUACCAAGACCGUGAUGCAUAGCCGACCUGAGAGGGUGAUAGGCCACACUGGGACUGAGACACGGCCCAG